GUAAGGAAUAUUGGACAAUGGGCGAGAGCCUGAUCCAGCCAUGCCGCGUGCAGGAAGACGGACCUAUGGUUUGUAAACUGCUUUUGAACGAGAGAAAACCCGGGUACGUGUACCCGGCUGAUAGUAUCGUUAGAAUAAGCAUCGGCUAACUUCGUGCCAGCAGCCGCGGUAAGACGAAGGAUGCAAGCGUUAUCCGGAUUCAUUGGGUUUAAAGGGAGCGUAGGCGGACUUGUAAGUCAGUGGUGAAAUCUGUGGGCUUAACCCACAAACUGCCAUUGAUACUGCAGGUCUAGAGUACAGUUGCCGUUGGCGGAAUAUGACAUGUAGUGGUGAAAUACUUAGAUAUGUCAUAGAACACCGAUUGCGAAGGCAGCUAACGAAGCUGUAACUGACGCUGAGGCUCGAAAGUGCGGGGAUCAAACAGGAUUAGAAACCCCUGUAGUCC
rnacentral:rRNA from 1 species